AGGAAGACAGACUGAGGACCCCUGCCCAUGACCCAGCACGGAAUUCUAGGCCACCCUCCCUGGACAGGCGCAGAGCCCAGGGCACCCACUUGCUCACAGAAGUAGAGGAUCCUACCGGACGACCUCUUCCCCUAGGCCCCUCCCCCACAACUGGGCACCCUGAUUUGUCUUCUGCGUCCUGGUCUGGCCUCCUCCACUCCUGUCCCUGGGACUCCUGCUCCAGGUAGGCCAGGGAGCAUUCCACCUGCUGGGGGGAGGGCUGAAGGCAGCACUGAGCCCCUGGAGAGGGCCGUCCCUGCCCCCAGGCACAGCAGU